rnacentral:rRNA from 1 species
UACGUAGGGUGCGAGCGUUAAUCGGAAUUACUGGGCGUAAAGCGUGCGCAGGCGGUUUUGUAAGUCAGAUGUGAAAUCCCCGAGCUCAACUUGGGAACUGCGUUUGAAACUACAAGACUAGAGUAGGUCAGAGGGGGGUAGAAUUCCACGUGUAGCAGUGAAAUGCGUAGAGAUGUGGAGGAAUACCAAUGGCGAAGGCAGCCCCCUGGGAUCAUACUGACGCCCAUGCACGAAAGCGUGGGGAGCAAACAGG